rnacentral:lncRNA from 1 species
UGACUAGCGACCUCUGAAGCCCCAGGAACCUCAGGACUUUCCUGCCGGGGCCUCUUCUUAGUAUGUUUGAACCCUGAAGAACACUGUCCUAGUCACAAAGCAAAAGCACUUAAUUCGGCUGUUGGAGGGGAAAACUGGCAAGUUCUAGAGGAGGAGAUUUCGGAUGUCUGAAACCCCCAAAAUGCCCUUGAGAGCAAGGGGCUGCAUCUUAGCACCUCUGCCUUCCAGUAGAGGAGGGGAGAAGGUGGAAGGCCCAGGGGAAGUGCAGCAUGCAGGUGCCGCUGGAAGAGACCACGGAGGUUCUGGCUGUUCUAAAACAACGUUGCUCAUAAGAAAUGCAACCUCUGUACUAGUUGGUUACCUCUUUCCAACCUAAUAAAAUUUGAGCCGAAAGCAGAA